GGACCAAGCGUUGUUCGGAUUUACUGGGCGUAAAGGGCGCGUAGGCGGCAAUUCAAGUCAUCUGUGAAAUCUCUGGGCUUAACCCAGAACGGCCAGGUGAUACUGCUUUGCUAGAGUGCGGAGGGGGCAAUCGGAAUUCUUGGUGUAGCGGUGAAAUGCGUAGAUAUCAAGAGGAACACCUGAGGUGAAGACGGGUUGCUGGGCCGACACUGACGCUGACAGCGCGAAAGCCAGGGGAGCGAACAGG
rnacentral:rRNA from 1 species